CUUCCUUUUUUCACAUGAAUGGGUCUCUUGUUGUGCACAAAAGUUUACAUGACAUCAAAAUAUUUUGGAUCCCCCCUCCCCGUCUAGGCUUAAUCUAAAUUUGACACCCAAAGACUAUACUACUACUACAAUAUGUCAUAGGCUUAAUCUAAAUUUGACACCCAAAGACUAUACUACUACUACAAUAUGUCAUAGUACCAAAAUACCAAAAGGACAUACCAAGUAUGUACUAUGUAUGUACAUAUUGUGGCUUGUGUAAACUUUUAGUCGCCCAGAAGACAA
rnacentral:lncRNA from 1 species